GGAUGGGGCCUGAGGUGGAAGGCGGGAGCUUUGAGUCGUCAGCUUCGACGUGAGGGCGGUGCAAAAACAUCUGGUGAUUUCUACCCACCUGCUUCCCUGAACGUGAUGAGCAAAAGCUGCCUCCCCACAGCACCUCUGGGAUCCUCUGACAAGCCAGGUUUGCUCCUGGCCAAGACAAGAUGCCUUGGCUUCCCUGCAAGUAUCUGACUUGGAGGGGCAUGCCUGUUGGUCUGUACAAGAGCUGGACUCUCCUUCUUCAAGGGUUUGGAUCAUCCUCUAGGAUCUUCCUGACACCAAGUGCAAGUGAGGUCAAUUUUUGGAGACCUUAAAUGUCUGAAAGUGUUUUUUAUUUCAUCUUCACUGAUGAUUGUUUGUCACAUUAGAGAACACAAGUUUGAAAAUAAUUUUUGAUGAAAAUUUUGACAUCAUUCUUCACUGGACCUGACUUUCACGGCUGCCCUGGAGAAAUCCGUUACAGUUCUGAUUUCCCUGUCGUUAUAUGUAGUGUUCCUCCUGACACUGUAAGCAUUCUCUGUUUAUCCCAGAUGUACUGAAAUUUCCCAUGGAUGUGCCUUGCUAUGGAUCUGUUCAUACUUUGUUCAUGGUACUCAGUGGUCAGGCCUUCACUUCUGACACUACAAGAUAUGCUUAUAGAAUAAUUUUUCUCCACCCUUCUGGAAGAUUUACACAGUUGGAUGUUUGGGCCAAACCUCUAACUUCUAGUCUUUUCUCUGUCUCUUUGUAUUUUAAUUCACUUCUUUGGGAGAUUUCUUUCAAGUUUUUUCAUCCUACUUCUGAAUGAUUUUCCUUUUGGAAAUUAUUUUGUACUUCUAAGGAUACUGGUACCAUGCUAUUCAGUUUUUAUGAUCGUCUAAUCAUGUUUCAAGUAUGUACUAUUUUUGUUACUUCUGAGGGUAUUAUUAAUAAUAGAUAGUUCCUUUUUGUAAUUUUUACUAGCUUCCUUUUUUGUCUCCUUUUCCUCUAAGUUCUGUUAUUUGUUUGAUUUCAGCAGGGUAAUAUUUUCUUAAACAUAUUUUCUUAAAAAAAUGGAAGUGUAGUUUAUUUACCAGGUUAUGUUA